CGAAGGGGCUAGCGUUGCUCGGAAUCACGUGGGACGUAAAGGGCGCGUAGGCGGCCAUUCAAGUCGGGGGUGAAAGCCUGUGGCUCAACCACAGAAUUGCCUUCGAUACUGUUUGGCUUGAGUUGGUAGAGGUUGGUGGAACUGCGAGUGUAGAGGUGAAAUUCGUAGAUAUUCGCAAGAACACCAGUGGCGAAGGCGGCCAACUGGACCAAUACUGACGCUGAGGCGCGAAAAGCGUGGGGGAGCAAAACAGGAUU
rnacentral:rRNA from 1 species